rnacentral:rRNA from 1 species
AUGCCCCGCUCCUCUCCCUAUUUAACCCGUCUUCUGCCUCCAUUCCUCUCCAAGAAGAGCCACAGCUUCUUCUCCAAUUUGAGCUCCUCUUCAGCGCCACUCCGACCUCCAGAAUCCACCACCACUUCCAGAAUUCAUCCAGAAUCACAGAUACGCAUACACCUGCCCGGCUUCAAGCUUCCUUGCUUUAGCACUUCUUUGCAUAUCUCGAUGGAGUGCGAGAACGGGCACGUUGCCGCCAACGGCGAUGGCCUGUGCGUGGCGCAGCCGGCGCGGGCCGACCCGCUCAACUGGGGGAAGGCGGCGGAGGAGCUGUCCGGUAGCCAUUUGGAUGCCGUGAAGCGGAUGGUCGAGGAGUACCGUAAGCCGGCCUGA